rnacentral:rRNA from 1 species
GACGAACGCUGGCGGCGUGCCUAAUACAUGCAAGUAGAACGCUGAAGAGAGGAUCUUGCUCUUCUUGGAUGAGUUGCGAACGGGUGAGUAACGCGUAGGUAACCUGCCUUGUAGUGGGGGAUAACUAUUGGAAACGAUAGCUAAUACCGCAUAACAAUGGAUUACACAUGUCAUGUAUUUGAAAUUGGCAAUUGCUCCACUACAAGAUGGACCUGCGUUGUAUUAGCUAGUAGGUGAGGUAUUGGCUCACCUAGGCGAGGAAACAGAGCCGCCCUGAGAGGGUGGUCGGCCACCCUGGGAGGGAGACAGGGCCCAGACUGCUACAGGAGGCAGCAGUAGGGAAACUUCGGGCAGGGGGGGAACACUGACCGAGCAACGCCGCAGGAGGGAGGAAGGUUUUCGGGUCGUAAAGCUCUGUUGUAAGGCAAGAACGCGCGUGAGAGUGUAACGUUCACAGUGUGACGGUAGCUGACCAGAAAGCGACGGCUAACUACGUG